rnacentral:miRNA from 1 species
UGUACAUAUAUGUAUAUAUAUGUAUGUAUGUAUACAUAUAUGAAUAUAUACACACAUAUAUACACAUAUGUAUAUAUGUAUAUAUACACACAUAUAUAUGAAUAUAUACAUACAUAUA